GACGAACGCUGGCGGCGUGCUUAACACAUGCAAGUCGAACGGAAAGGCCCAGCUUGCUGGGUGCUCGAGUGGCGAACGGGUGAGUAACACGUGGGUGAUCUGCCUCUAACUUCGGGAUAAGCUUGGGAAACUGGGUCUAAUACCGGAUAGGACAAUCGUUUAGUGUCGGUUGUGGAAAGUUUUUUCGGUUAGGGAUGAGCCCGCGGCCUAUCAGCUUGUUGGUGGGGUAAUGGCCUACCAAGGCGUCGACGGGUAGCCGGCCUGCGAGGGUGGACGGCCACAUUGGGACUGAGAUACGGCCCAGACUCCUACGGGAGGCAGCAGUGGGGAAUAUUGCACAAUGGGCGCAAGCCUGAUGCAGCGACGCCGCGUGGGGGAUGACGGCCUUCGGGUUGUAAACCUCUUUCGACAGGGACGAAGCUUUGGUGACGGUACCUGUAUAAGAAGCACCGGCUAACUACGUGCCAACAGCAGCCGCCG
rnacentral:rRNA from 1 species